rnacentral:lncRNA from 1 species
AUGAUGCAGUGCCACCUCCAGACACACUAUACCUCUCUCUCUCUUCAGAGAAUGAAAGAAACCAUACGAGGCACACCAGGCCAAUCAUUUCCUGAAGUUUGUGGCACCAUGGGGAUCGCGCGAUUCUUCCUCCUGCUCAGUUGCUUCCUCUUGGUUUUUGUACAAGGUCUAGACAUCCCUGACCCGGAUGAAAUUGAGUACAUCAGACAACAGGAAGAAGCGACAGUAAACGGCACUGUCCACCUUUAUUGUGGAUCUGAUGUUCCCACACUGUUCAUCUGGGUGUUCUCCCGGCCUGGCACAGAGAGAAAUGAGCCUUUGGCAUACAACUACGGCCAGGGGUCGAAACUCCUGUCCUUAGCCAGCACCCUUGGAGAGAUUUCCUUGCUCACCAACACAACCACUCUUGUGAUUGAAGGGGUUUCAGAAGAGGCUGAGGGGGUAUACACUUGCCAGGCCCUAUACGACAUGGAUGAACCGCCUAAGGUUAGGUUUUACUACACCCAGCUGCACCUGCAGGAUGAAGAGGAGAGAUCCAGGGGGUCGGGAUCUCCACCACCGGACAGUGACUAAAGGACAGGUCGACUAACUAGAAUACAUAUUUUUAAAGUGAUAACUGUAUUGAGAAGUUUAUGAAGUUAACUUGUUAACCGAAGUCCAGGAGCGAGACCAUGCCUCACUUUGCCUCCUUAUCCAAUCAUCUACUGCAGGGGUCACCAAACUUGUAUUGCAGAUUUUAGCUCCUACCCUAAUCAAACACACCUGAUCAAAGUAAUCAAGGUCUUGCUAGGUAUACUUGAAACAUCCAGGCAGGUGUGUUGAGGCAAGUUGGAGCUAAACCCUGCAGGGACACUAGCCCUCCAGGACCGACAUUGGUGACCCCUGAUCUACUGCUUAAACUUAUUUAAGGAAGAUCAGCCCUCUAGCACUGUUCAUCUCAUUCUCUCAAACCCACUCUCCAUCCUUCCUUAUAACCUUCUCUCCCCUCCUUGGUUGAAUUGGGGGAGUCCUAAUCACCCUACCAAAACAUUACAGAGAUGCUACCCCCACUCUGAGUCUCUGGGCAUCAGCGUUGAUUGCCAAAUCAAUGAAUCUGCUUGUUUAUAAUUGCGUUACUUUUAUUCCUCUUCAUCCCCCUCUUCCUUACCAUCCCUUUUCAUCCCUACAUCCCCACAACAAAGACUGCCUCAAAGUGUGGUGUGGUCGAUGUUGGUGAAACAGUAUUUAUGUGAAGGUAAAUUCACUGCAAUUCAUUUACGUUUAGAGGUAACAUCCCUAGAGUAACUUGUUUACCCUUUAAGAUAUGAAAUGAGUUAUAAAUACAAAUAAACUGAUGUUCAUUGUGUGAUCUGUUUACUUCUUUUUA